AUCCUCUGGUUUCUCUUCAGAUUGUAUACAUUUUUUGCCUUUUACUAAAAUAAAGAUUUCCAUGGAGAGGAACAAUUCUGAGCAUUUACCCAAAUUCUUGAGAUCUUGUGUUUGCAAGGGA
ensembl:snRNA U5 U5 spliceosomal RNA